UAUGGUACAAAUGCAAUGCGAUGCUAAAAGAGAUGGGACUCGGCUUAAAAUCUAGAAAACUCAUGAGGAGUCAAACCAAUCUAGGAAAAGCCCCGUGGCAAAAGAAGAACCACCAAGGAUCCCAAUUGAGUACCAUAGAAAAGAUAUCAAUUGAAGGAUCAAAAAUUGAUAUCACUUGAAGAAAAUAAAAUCCAAUUGUAAGAUCAAAUAUGAUACCAAUUAAAAGAGCAAAAGUGGAUAUCAAAAAUCAAAGCAAGUCCUAGGUCCAAACUCCCCCUUGAAUGAAAUCGAACUCCCCCUCAACCAAAGACAC
rnacentral:lncRNA from 1 species